GGCGGCGGCAGCGCGGAGUGGCGGAGCCGGGCGGCCUCGCCCUGCCCUGCGCUGCCCCGGGCGCGGCACUGCCCGCCCGGCCCUAGGUGUUUGUUUGAAUACAUAGAAGAAGAUGAUGACAGGCGUGCCUGGACAAUUUUACGUAAUUAACACCUGCUAGAUGUGCAAAAGGCAAUUAUUGCUGUGAAGUGUUUACAUUGAUUUAUGGGAGGAAGGUGGCCCAAGAGAGGGAUGCUGAUAAUAUCAACCCAGUGGAUUAAAUGCACAUUUACACCUUUAUUGACAUAUAAAUUAUCCAUGCCAGGAAUGCACUGAAAUGGCUGCUGAUGGGGCAGUAACGUGGCACAAAGUACUGGGUUUGGAUUCAGCUCUGUCAUCCUUCUGUAAGGCACAGCAACAGGAUUCUGCAUCUGGGCUCAAAUAGGGAAUAGAGGCUUACAGACUGGCUGCCUGUUAGGAUAAUGAGCUGUGAUGGCAAGUGGGAACUUGGAAGGAUGAUAAAAACCGUGGCUGAGGUCUGAAGGAGUUUUCUUGCUUUUUUUUUUUUUUUUUUUAAAUGACUUUGAGGUUUUUGUUGUUGUUCAUACUAUGGAUUUUUAGAGAAAGCUGAAAGAGGCCAGAGGAGUGUUUGUAGCUGGGAAAUGGAACCUGGCUCUGAAUCUAACCAGCAUCAGAAGAGAAAGCCGGUGACACAUGGACUGGAAGAUCAAAAAAGGAGCCUGCUGCAGCUUCUGAUGGGAACCAGACCUGGGUUUGGGAGCCUGAGUUUGAUGGGGAGAGGCUCCUGGGACAUUCCUAUAGCAGUAAAAUUUGGUGAGAGAGCAAGCCUUAUUUUCUCCUUAACAGCAAACUCAUUCAUCUGUUAGAAAGAAGCAAACUGACUUGCACGUGAGUCUGUCCUUGAAGCAUUAGGCAAAAACAGCGUGGUACUGAGAACUGUGAUUUCUCUUUGUGCUAACUGGAUGUGAUGCAUGGAUGUCUCUUGAGGCUAUCACAUAUUGAUGGUAAUAAAUAUGUACUCAGA